UGGUCUUAAAAUUGACUAAAGGCAGACAAUAAACUGGGAAUCAUUUAUUUUUACAGAAUGGAGUAUUUUCGAGGAAGAACAAAAGAAAAACUCAAGGCAACCAUUACAGAUGUAAGCAAAGAGCUAAAGAAAACUGUGUUCAAAAGAGUAAAAGAAUAAAUUGCAGGUUCUGAAGAAUCCACUGUAGAGGAAGAAGCAAUAUUUUUAUAACAGGACUUUUCAGGAAAGUAUUUCAAGUGACUAGUUUCUAUUUCAUUUUAUAAAGCAAAAAUAAAUGAGAGAAGAAAGUCUAAACACAUUCAUAGAAACUGACAUCAAAAAUCCUUUUUAAAAUAUUAUCAAAUGGAAUCCAGAAACAUAUAAGAAGGAUUAUGCACCAUAAACAAGUAAAAUUCAUCCCAGAAAUUAAAGGAUUUUGUUUUAUUGGGAGUUUUGCUUGUUUGCUUUGAGUCCCCCCCCCCCCCCCCGAGAAAAAGGGACAACACAAAGUUUGGUGGAUAGGAAUUUGGGGACAAUUGCAAUUGCGAGGAGUUGGAUAAAGGGAAAGAAUAUGAUCAAUUAUAUUGUAUAAAGACUUUUUAAAUAAAAAAUAAAUCUAGGCUGGGCAUAGUGGUUCAUGUCUUUAAUCCCAGCCCUUGGGAGGCAGAGGUAGGCAGAUAACUGCCAGACUGGUCUACAUAAUGAGUUCCAAGACAGCCAGAGAUACACAAUGAGACCCUGUCUCAAAAGAUCAAAAAUAAACAAAUUAAUUAAUAAACAAUAUUAAUAAAGGACAUGGUUGGCCUACCCAAUCAAUGUUAAAAGUAUUUGGCAAGGCACAACAGUUAUCAAACUUUAUAACUAUUCUCAGCCAGUGAAGAUGAUCAGGGAAUGUCCUUAAUUUGCUCCUUAGGGGAUCUGCAGGUAGCUCUAAGGCCAGCAUUAUUCUUGAUGAAAAAAUAUUUAAAAUUUUUCUGUAAGACUGAAGACAAAACAAGAAUAUCUGCUCUUACUAUUUUUAUUCAGUCUUAUACAUAGAAUUCUAGUCAGUGAAUUAACAGGAGAAAAAAACAAAUCAAAUUGUCUUUAUGGUCAAAUGACAUGGUCUUUGUAAAAUCAAAAAUUCUCAAGUAUCUAUAAAAUAAAAACUAGAAUCAGUAAGUGUACAUAGCAAGGCUAAAGAACAGAUUAACGCAGACAAAUAAUUAUAUAUAUACAUAUAUAUAUGUAUAUAUAUGUGUGUAUAUUAUACAUCAAUAAUAAAUAACCAAAAAUCUGCAUAAGAAAACAAUUUCAUUCACAAUAGCAUCAAAACUAAAAUACUUAGAAAAAAUUAAAAACAUUUUUAUUUAUUCUUUCAAAUGUUCAUGCCUGUAUUUACUGUACUUUGAUUAUACCCAUCCCCUAUUAUCUCUCUCGAGCUCUCACUGAGAGGCACCAAUUCAUCUUUCUCCCAACUUGAUGUCCUUUAUGGCCAUCAUCAUCAUCAUCAUCAUCAUCAUCAUUGUCACUAAUAGUCCUUGAGUCCAAUUAAGUCAAUUCGAGUAGAGCCAUCCACUGAAGCAUGAGCAAUCUAUCAGUAGCUAUAUUCCCCCACCCCCAAAAGUUACUCUCCCUCAGAGGCCAUCAACUCCCAAUAGCUUCUCCUUUAGGAUGGGGUCCACAGAGCCCCUCCUCCAUCCAUGCUGGAAUUUUGACUGGCUUGGUUGUGUGCAGACAACCACAGCUUCUGUGGGGUGAAGUGUGCAUCAGCUAUAUUAUGUAAAGAUUAGGAACAAACACGAAGUAUCACAAGGCCUGUGCAA